CGGUAGCUCAGCUGGAUAGAGUGUCUGACUACGAAUCAGAAGGCCGGGGGUUCGAGUCCCUUCCGGC
rnacentral:tRNA from 2 species